CCUACGGGAUGCAGCAGUGGGGAAUAUUGCACAAUGGGCGCAAGCCUGAUGCAGCCAUGCCGCGUGUAUGAAGAAGGCCUUCGGGUUGUAAAGUACUUUCAGCGAGGAGGAAGGCAUUAAGGUUAAUAACCUUGGUGAUUGACGUUACUCGCAGAAGAAGCACCGGCUAACUCCGUGCCAGCAGCCGCGGUAAUACGGAGGGUGCAAGCGUUAAUCGGAAUUACUGGGCGUAAAGCGCACGCAGGCGGUCUGUCAAGUCGGAUGUGAAAUCCCCGGGCUCAACCUGGGAACUGCAUUCGAAACUGGCAGGCUAGAGUCUUGUAGAGGGGGGUAGAAUUCCAGGUGUAGCGGUGAAAUGCGUAGAGAUCUGGAGGAAUACCGGUGGCGAAGGCGGCCCCCUGGGCAAAGACUGACGCUCAGGUGCGAAAGCGUGGGGAGCAAACAGGAUUAGAUACCCCUGUAGUC
rnacentral:rRNA from 1 species